UACGUAGGGUGCGAGCGUUAAUCGGAAUUACUGGGCGUAAAGCGUGCGCAGGCGGUGAUGUAAGACAGAUGUGAAAUCCCCGGGCUUAACCUGGGAACUGCAUUUGUGACUGCAUCGCUGGAGUGCGGCAGAGGGGGAUGGAAUUCCGCGUGUAGCAGUGAAAUGCGUAGAUAUGCGGAGGAACACCGAUGGCGAAGGCAGUCCCCUGGGCCUGCACUGACGCUCAUGCACGAAAGCGUGGGGAGCAAACAGG
rnacentral:rRNA from 1 species